rnacentral:rRNA from 1 species
GACGAACGCUGGCGGCGUGCUUAACACAUGCAAGUCGAACGGUAAGGCCCUUCGGGGUACACGAGUGGCGAACGGGUGAGUAACACGUGGGUGAUCUGCCCUGCACUUCGGGAUACGCCUGGGAAACUGGGUCUAAUACCGGAUAGGACCACUGCCUGCACGGGGGGUGGCGGAAAGCUCUUGCGGUGUGGGAUGGGGCCGCGUGCGAUCAGCUUGGUGGGGGGGUGAUGGCCUACCAAGGCGACGACGGGUAGCCGGGCCGAGAGGGUGACCGGCCACACUGGGACUGAGAUACGGCCCAGACUCCUACGGGAGGCAGCAGUGGGGAAUAUUGCACAAUGGGCGCAAGCCUGAUGCAGCGACGCCGCGUGAGGGAUGACGGCCUUCGGGUUGUAAACCUCUUUCAGCACCGACGAAGCGCAAGUGACGGUAGGUGCAGAAGAAGGACCGGCCAACUACGUGCCAGCCGCCGCAGUAA